AGACGUCUACAUUAGAUACCCGUGUAGUCCCAGCCGUAAACAAUGUGCGUUAGGUGUAUCGGUGACCACGAGUCACCGAGGUGCCGAAGGGAAACCGUGAAACGUGCCGCCUGGGAAGUACGGUCGCAAGGCUGAAACUUAAAGGAAUUGGCGGGGAGCACCACAACGGGUGGAGCCUGCGGUUUAAUUGGACUCAACGCCGGGAAGCUCACCGGAUAAGACAGCGGAAUGAUUGCCGGGCUGAAGACUCUGCAUGACUAGCUG
rnacentral:rRNA from 1 species